ensembl:lncRNA
GCUUUGGGAAGCGCUGAGAGACCGACCUGGCAGUCUAACCUGUGGACCACUGCGGGGCUAGUAAUCUUCAUGGAAUCUCAGUUUACCCUUCUGAGAAGCGGGCGGCCAAUCCUCCGCAGGCCCAGCACAUAGAUGCCACAGCUGCACUCUUCGGCUUCCCUCCUGCACCCGAGGAACCCCUGGCCAGGGCGGGCAUAGUCGCGGAUUCCGGGUGUCAUCUCUGCCCAGACUGAGGGGGCACGGGGCCUCCAGAAGAAGGAGCCCUGCUCUGCCUGUCGAGUGCUGGCAGGCUUCUGGGAGAAGACAGCUUCGAGCUGAGGCCUGAGGGAUGAGUAGUAGUUCUUAUGCCCCGAGAGUGAUUGAAUGGGAGAGCCUAAGUCUCGAAUUUGAAGACCUUAGGACGCCACCACACGGAGCUCAGAGGAGAAGCCUGCCUCACUGUGAUCUGAGACAAAGCUCAAUUCAGUUCAUCCAACAAGUAUCCAUGUGCUGGGUCUGGAGGUGAGAAAACUGAGAUUCAGGGGAAGGGAUCUGCUGAGAGUCAGCUGGCACUAAGCAACAGAGUAAGAAUUUGAAACCCGGUCAGGUUCACUAACAAAAGGCCAUGAAUGCCUUUUCCCCUAAAUAACACAUGCUGUCAUUAUAGCUGUCUACCCCACCCCUCCCCACCCACCAUAGACUUUAAAUUCCUCCAAAGCAGAGGCCAUGUUAAUUCAUCUUCUAAAAC